rnacentral:rRNA from 1 species
AGUGAACGCUGGCGGUAGGCCUAACACAUGCAAGUCGAACGGCAGCACAGUAAGAGCUUGCUCUUACGGGUGGCGAGUGGCGGACGGGUGGGGAAUACAUCGGAAUCUACUUUUUCGUGGGGGGUAACGUAGGGAAACUUACGCUAAUACCGCAUACGACCUACGGGUGAAAGCAGGGGAUCUUCGGACCUUGCGCGAUUGAAUGAGCCGAUGUCGGAUUAGCUAGUUGGCGGGGUAAAGGCCCACCAAGGCGACGAUCCGUAGCUGGUCUGAGAGGAUGAUCAGCCACACUGGAACUGAGACACGGUCCAGACUCCUACGGGAGGCAGCAGUGGGGAAUAUUGGACAAUGGGCGCAAGCCUGAUCCAGCCAUACCGCGUGGGUGAAGAAGGCCUUCGGGUUGUAAAGCCCUUUUGUUGGGAAAGAAAAGCAGCAGGUUAAUACCCCGCUGUUCUGACGGUACCCAAAGAAUAAGCACCGGCUAACUUCGUG